ACACUCCUACGGGAGGCAGCAGUAGGGAAUCUUCGGCAAUGGGGGCAACCCUGACCGAGCAACGCCGCGUGAGUGAAGAAGGUUUUCGGAUCGUAAAGCUCUGUUGUAAGUCAAGAACGAGUGUGAGAGUGGAAAGUUCACACUGUGACGGUAGCUUACCAGAAAGGGACGGCUAACUACGUGCCAGCAGCCGCGGUAAUACGUAGGUCCCGAGCGUUGUCCGGAUUUAUUGGGCGUAAAGCGAGCGCAGGCGGUUUGAUAAGUCUGAAGUUAAAGGCUGUGGCUCAACCAUAGUUCGCUUUUGAAACUGUCAAACUUGAGUGCAGAAGGGGAGAGUGGAAUUCCAUGUGUCGCGGUGAAAUGCGUAGAUAUAUGGAGGAACACCGGUGGCGAAAGCGGCUCUCUGGUCUGUAACUGACGCUGAGGCUCGAAAGCGUGGGGAGCGAACAGGAUUAGAAACCCCAGUAGUCCCA
rnacentral:rRNA from 1 species